CUCACUUUAGCGGUAAUGGUCUAGUUUCAAUUUGUGCAAGUAAAUAAUAUCAAGGGGUUCAAAAGUCUUUCAUUUUCAAUAUGUUCUUUUCAAUUUGCACCAUUCAAGAUUGCAUCUUUAAACUCUUUCGAAAUAUAUAUAUUUGACUUAAUUAGAUUUAGGAAUACUUUUUUCUUUUUUUAAUAAAAUGAAACUUCAAUAAAAUUCUUGAAGACAAGGGUUCUUUUUAUGUCAUAAAGAUAUAAUGAUAAUAUCGAAAUUACAUAAUCAAAGAUUUCAGAUUUUCGAGCUUAAAGUUUUAGUUUUAGUAUGACUAAGACAAAAGUACAUGAAAUGCAAAUUUAGUAAUGUGUCUUGUACAAAAUGGAGGUUGGAUUCAAGUCAUCUCCGAGAAAGAGAGAGAGUUUCAAGUAGUGGAAGCUAUUAAUUCAAGAUAAUGUGUUUCUGAAAUUUCAAUCUUAAUUUAAAAUUUACUUUGUGUCUUAUCCCAAAAUAUUAUUUCAUAAUAUAGUAAUGUAGUUUUGUAUGACUAAGAAUAGCCAGAUUCAAACUUCUAUUUUUAUCUUCUGAUCCACCCAACCUAAAUGAGUUGGCUACCAACCUUUUAAAACCCUACCAUAUUAAACUAAGCCAUUUUGCCUGUGCGUUCUGUUUUGUACUAUUCGAAUAUGGAUCUUAUUUGCAAACUUUGAAUAACAACUCAAAACCACAACUGAUUAUCAAUUAAAUCAUGUGCUAAGCACAUGUAAUGUUUUCUUAUUCUAAAGAAAAUUGAUAAAUCAUAUCAUUGUAACAAACCAAAAAUCCUCACUAUACUAAUAAGGGCACUAAAACACUGUUACAAUUUUAAGUUUUUAAUUUCAAUAAUCAAUUUACUAAUGAAAAUACUGAAAUAACAAGUAACUAAGAAUAUAGAUAUGAAUAAAGAUGAAAAGCUUAGACUAUAUUGGGAUGAGAAACAUCAAAUUGCCAUUGCACAUAAUUCAUACGAUGCCCUCUCAUAUUAAUGCCAUGUUCUAUUUAACAAUGCCUUCAGUGUGGAUCUCAAAUUAUCCUUUGUAAAGGCCUGAUCUUGUUGCUUGUAUCGGGUCUACUUGUACCAAUACCUAUCCAUGUGAUAUACUUGUUAGUAGGGGCGUCAAAAAUCAACCCAAACAUAGGUAACUGUUCAGAAUUUUAAAGGUUGGACUCAAGAUAAUUUGAAUUGAGUUCAAUCUCAACUCAUUCAAGCCUAAUCUAUUUAAAGAGGAUCCUCUAUUAAGCCCGAUUCAAUUUCCAAUUUCAAUUCUUUUUAAAACUUUUAUCAAGAUAUGUAUCUAUAUUGCAGAUAUGAAUUAUUAUCUAUUUGACAUCCUUUAUGAUUUAUCUAUCCAUUUGUUACUUUAUCAAAAAAUAUUAUUGAGACAAGAUUCAAAUUGUGAUUAGAAAAGUGAAAUAUCAAUAUGUUGGUUUGUUAAGAUUUAUAGGGUUAAAUUGAGUGGGUCAAAAUUCAGCCAGUUAUUUAGGUCAUUUAAACCCAACCAAUUUGAGCCUAAAGUAAAUUUGGGCGUGUCAAGACCCAACCCGACUUCUAUUUCAACCCAUUUUAAUAUCCUCAAUUUUAAUCAACUCGCCCAUUUGACAUCCCAACUUGUUAGUGUCAUUAUUGAACAGGAGCUGAUUCAUAACAAUUAAUAUUUUAUGUGGUAGGUAAUUUGUAAAUAUAUAUGAAGUGAGAUUAUCUUACAAUGGAAAGCAAAACAGAAUUGAAGGUUUUGUAUAUUGAAAGUUUUAUUUUAUAUUUUAAUUUCGUCAAGUUUGUUCACGUAAUAAGAUGGAUAUUCAAAAGAGUCAUUUUUCUGAAAAUAGAUUAGAUCUUCUUUCGACUUUCAUAAAAAGUGGCUAAGAAAAUUCUACAAAUAUAAAGACACCCUCAGGAGGAAUGAUCCUCAAGCAACCAUUCUCAUCAAACAUUUUCUAAUAACUAAAUAUGAUUUAGGUGUAUUUUUAAAAAUAGCUUAAGGUAUUUUUGACACUAAUCACUUUUAAAUUGAGUUUUAAUAUCUUUGCAAGAAGAAACCCAAAAUAAGAAAUUUGAAGGUUGCCCCGAUUAAACUUUAAGGGUUAUCUGGUAGCUGGUUUGAAGAUGAGCUAUGCAAGUACUUAGAAAAAAUUAUCUAACUACACAUCAUUUAUUAUCAUAUUUUUCUUAUUUUCCCUACUAUUUCAAAAAAUAUUAAAAUCCCCUUUUUUGCUCUCAUCAUUUCUUUUUUUUCCAGAUACAUUAUUUUGAUUUUUGAAAUCUCUUAACUAUGAUUUUCCUUACUUUUUUCACUCAACAAAUCUCUCUACAGUUACUUCCAUUAAUCUAUUUUUGAAUUUCAAAUCUUCUCUUUCCAAUAAAAGACUUCAAGUUAUUCGAGAGAGAGGUGGAGAAACCUUAUUAAUGCACAUAGUUCAUCUUGGAGUGCAUUUGAAAUGGUUUCAGGAAUUUCUAAUGGCGGUCUUGAUACACUUCAUUCCGUUGGUUCGAUCUUUUAAUUUUUUUGCUUACUUUCAAUGUAUCUCGCUUAUUUUGAUUCUUAAAUUAGUCUUUUUUUAUUGUUAUCAUUGAUCUGAUAUAUCAUGUUCAUAUAUAAGGUAUUGAUACAUAACUCUAAUGUUGUUGAAUCUUUGAUUAGUGUUUAUCAGGGGCGGAGCCACCUUGGUACAAUAUUUAUACAGGUUAAAAUAAUAUUUUAUGUAUAUAUAUUAGAUGUCGAACCCCCUUUGGCUACUCCGUGCGUCUAUUUCUACGAAUUUCGAACCCCCUUAUUGAAAAUCAUGGCUCCGCCACUGGUGUUUAUCAUGUUCAAUACAAUGGUACUUGAUACAUAAACUUUGUAUUAUGUAUCACACACCAAAAAAUAUGUUAUUUGGAACAAUUACAUGUAUAUAGUAUUUCUCAAACAAAAUAAGGUACAUAGAUAAUAAUAUAUCAUCCACUAAUUUUUUAGCCGUGAAUGUAAAUUCAAAUUCAUACUAAAUGUAUCUGAUACAUAACAAUUACCAAACAAUAAUGUAUCAAUCUCAACAAAUACAGUUGAUGAUAAACCUUAAUGUUCUGUAGCCUGUUCUGUAGCCAAAGCAUUGUGUAUCAAAUUAAUUGAUAGGUGCAUGAUAUGCAAUAUAUACCAAAUUCAACAGUUUUACAAA